GACGAACGCUGGCGGCGCGCUUAAAACAUGCAAGUCGAACGUGAAGCUCGGAGCUUGCUCCGGGUGGAAAGUGGCGAACGGGUGAGGAACACGUGAGGAACCUGCCCCGAAGACCGGGAUAACACCGGGAAACCGGUGCUAAUACCGGAUGUCCUCACCGGACCGCAUGAUCCGGUGAGGAAAUGGAUUCCGCUUCGGGAUGGCCUCGCGCCCUAUCAGCUUGUUGGUGAGGUAACGGCUCACCAAGGCUACGACGGGUAGCUGGUCUGAGAGGAUGUCCAGCCACACUGGGACUGAGACACGGCCCAGACUCCUACGGGAGGCAGCAGUUAGGAAUCUUGCGCAAUGAGCGAAAGCUUGACGCAGCGACGCCGCGUGCGGGAUGACGGCCCUCGGGUUGUAAACCGCUUUCAGCAGGGACGAAAUUGACGGUACCUGCAGAAGAAGCCCCGGCCAACUACGUGC
rnacentral:rRNA from 1 species